CAGACUAUAGUUUAUCAAUAAAACGUAAAUUUUGGAUAUUUAAAAAUAAGGUCUGA
rnacentral:tRNA from 1 species